UACAAAGGUCUCAAGCGUUGUUCGGAUUCAUUGGGCGUAAAGGGUGUGUAGGUGGCGCGCUAAGUCGGGUGUGAAAUUUCGGAGCUUAACUCCGAAACUGCAUUCGAUACUGGCGUGCUUGAGGACUGGAGAGGAGACUGGAAUUCACGGUGUAGCAGUGAAAUGCGUAGAUAUCGUAAGGAAGACCAGUGGCGAAGGCGGGUCUCUGGACAGUUCCUGACACUGAGACACGAAGGCCAGGGGAGCAAACGGG
rnacentral:rRNA from 1 species